GACUUUGUAGCUCAGUUGGUAGAGCAAAUGACUCUUAAUCAUUGGGUCGAGGGUUCGAGUCCCUCCAGGGUCA
rnacentral:tRNA from 1 species